AAAUUUUGAAACGUAAAAUUGUAUAACAGUUGCCGAUAAAAGAUGUUUUACGGACCAGGAAAUCGAGUGUAUAAGGGAUGUCUUUACGAGUGAAGAGGCAGAUAAUAUUCUGUGGAACUGCUGUACAAAUGGCAUUAACAGCACGGCAGAAUGCUUUCGAGAAAGAGUGAAUCUGGUA